CCUACGGGUGGCAGCAGUGAGGAAUAUUGGUCAAUGGACGCAAGUCUGAACCAGCCAUGCCGCGUGCAGGAAGACGGCUCUAGGAGUUGUAAACUGCUUUUGUACGAGGGUAAACGCAGAUACGCGUCUCUGUCUGACAGUAUCGUAAGAAUAAGGAUCGGCUAACUCCGUGCCAGCAGCCGCGGUAAUACGGAGGAUCCAAGCGUUAUCCGGAUUUAUUGGGUUUAAAGGGUGCGUAGGCGGUCGGAUAAGUUAGAGGUGAAAUCCCGGGGCUCAACUUCGGAAUUGCCUUUGAUACUGUGCGGCUAGAGAGUAGUUGCGGUAGGCGGAAUUCAUGGUGUAGCGGUGAAAUGCUUAGAGAUCAUACAGAACACCGAUGGCGAAGGCAGCUUACCAAGCUACUUCUGACGUUGAGGCACGAAAGCGUGGGGAGCAAACAGGAUUAGAUACCCCAGUAGUC
rnacentral:rRNA from 1 species